CUACGUGCCAGCAGCCGCGGUCAUACGUAGGAUCCGAGCGUUAUCCGGAGUGACUGGGCGUAAAGAGUUGCGUAGGUGGUUCGAUAAGCGAAUAGUGAAAUCUGGUGGCUCAACCAUUCAGACUAUUAUUCGAACUGUUGAACUCGAGAGCAGAAGAGGUAGCUGGAAUUUCUAGUGUAGGAGUGAAAUCCGUAGAUAUUAGAAGGAACACCGAUGGCGUAGGCAGGCUACUGGGCUGUUUCUGACACUGAGGCACGAAAGCGUGGGGAGCGAACCGGAUUAGAUACCCGGGUAGUCCACGCCGUAAACGAUGGAUACUAGCUGUUUGGGGUAUCGACCCCCUGAGUAGCGAAGCUAACGCGUUAAGUAUCCCGCCUGUGGAGUACGAUCGCAAGAUUAAAACAUAAAGGAAUUGACGGGGACCCGCACAAGCGGUGAAUCAUGUUCUUUAAUUCGAUGAUAACCGAUAAACCUUACCAGGUCUUGACA
rnacentral:rRNA from 1 species